rnacentral:snoRNA from 1 species
CUGCAGCCAAUCAGGUACACUGUGUUUCUUUUCUCUGCGGGGGCCUGUUGUGCAAUGGCUGGAAAAUGCAGCCUCUUCAGUAGCGCAUACAGCCAGUUGCCUUAAAGGACCUUGAAGACAGCC